rnacentral:rRNA from 1 species
ACCCGCUGAACUUAAGCAUAUCAAUAAGCGGAGGAAAAGAAACCAACAGGGAUUGCCUCAGUAACGGCGAGUGAAGCGGCAAAAGCUCAAAUUUGAAAUCUGGGGCCUUUGGCCUCCGAGUUGUAAUUUGAAGAGGAUGCUUCGGUUGCGGUCACGGUCUAAGUUCCUUGGAACAGGACGUCGCGGAGGGUGAGAAUCCCGUACACGGCUAGUGGCUUGCUUCCAUGUGUGGCUCCUUCGAAGAGUCGAGUUGUUUGGGAAUGCAGCUCAAAAUGGGUGGUAAAUUUCAUCUAAAGCUAAAUACUGGCGAGAGACCGAUAGCGCACAAGUAGAGUGAUCGAAAGAUGAAAAGCACUUUGAAAAGAGAGUUAAACAGUACGUGAAAUUGUUGAAAGGGAAGCGCUUGCAAUCAGACUCGCUCUCGGUUGAUCAUCGGUCCUUCUGGGCUGUGCACUCUGCCGUCUGCGGGCCAGCAUCGGUUGGGACGACGGGACAAAGGCGUUGGGAAUGUGGCUCUCUUCGGGGAGUGUUAAGCCCUUCGCGCAAUGCCGCCUGCCCCGACCGAGGUCCGCGCUUCUGCUAGGAUGCUGGCUUAAUGGUUGUAAGUGACCCGUCUUGAAACACGG